rnacentral:rRNA from 1 species
UACGUAGGGUGCGAGCGUUAAUCGGAAUUACUGGGCGUAAAGCGUGCGCAGGCGGUUGUGCAAGACAGAUGUGAAAUCCCCGGGCUUAACCUGGGAAUGGCAUUGGUGACUGCACGGCUAGAGUGUGUCAGAGGGGGGUAGAAUUCCACGUGUAGCAGUGAAAUGCGUAGAGAUGUGGAGGAAUACCGAUGGCGAAGGCAGCCCCCUGGGAUAACACUGACGCUCAUGCACGAAAGCGUGGGGAGCAAACAGG